rnacentral:rRNA from 1 species
AUUAGUGGCGAACGGGCGAGUAACACGUGAGUAACCUGUCCUUUUCUUUGGGAUAACGGCUGGAAACGGCUGCUAAUACUGGAUAUUCAGGCUGCAUCGCAUGGUGUGGUUUGGAAAGGUUUUUUUCUGGAAUGGGGUGGGCUCGCGGCCUAUCAGCUUGUUGGUGGGGUGAUGGCUUACCAAGGCUUUGACGGGUAGCCGGCCUUAGAGGGUGGUCGGUCGCACUGGGACUGAGAUACGGCCCAGACUCCUACGGGAGGCAGCAGGA